rnacentral:lncRNA from 1 species
GGGAAAUCUGGGUUUAAUUUUCAUUGAGAGGGUACUUACUGUAUCAGGGCACUCUGCCUUCAUCCCUGGAGAUGGCAUCAUGAGGACUGUGUGGAGAUGGAUUUUGGGGAGGUGGAAUCUGAGGGCCUGUGAAGCAGAGGGUGCCUGAGAGGCAAGUGGUAUGAAUGGCUCCCAGGUGACCUGAGCCCGUAUGGGUGUGGGGGGGCGGAGGGCCCUCAGCUCUCUGAUAUACUUGCAAUGAGGGAUUUUCUAGACUGAGACAAAGAGGAGCCAUGGAACCAGGCCCAGCAAAUGUUCAGACUGUGUUUGAGUUCUUAGACCCAGAGAAGGCUAGGAAAUUAGCCAAGGUUACACAGUCUCUGUGGCAGAAGCAGGACUUGAGUCCUUAAUAGAACAGGCUCCUGAUGCCCUGUUGAGAGAUUGACUGGACACAGCUUCACAGCCUAAAUCAAGAUAGUUAUGGGGCUGGGGAUGUGGCUCAAGCGGUAGCGCCCUUGCC